GCGGAUUAAUUCGAUGCAACGCGAAGAACCUUACCUGGGUUUGACAUGGCCGCAAAACCGGCAGAGAUGUCGGGUCCUUCGGGGGCGGUCACAGGUGGUGCAUGGCUGUCGUCAGCUCGUGUCGUGAGAUGUUGGGUUAAGUCCCGCAACGAGCGCAACCCUCGUUCGAUGUUGCCAGCGCGUUAUGGCGGGGACUCAUCGAAGACUGCCGGGGUCAACUCGGAGGAAGGUGGGGAUGACGUCAAGUCAUCAUGCCCCUUAUGUCCAGGGCUUCACGCAUGCUACAAUGGCCGGUACAAUGGGCUGCGAUACCGUGAGGUGGAGCGAAUCCCAAAAAGCCGGUCUCAGUUCGGAUCGGGGUCUGCAACUCGACCCCGUGAAGUCGGAGUCGCUAGUAAUCGCAGAUCAGCAACGCUGCGGUGAAUACGUUCCCGGGCCUUGUACACACCGCCCGUCACGUCACGAAAGUCGGCAACACCCGAAGCCGGUGGCCCAACCCUUGUGGAGGGAGCCGUCGAAGGUGGGUGCUGGCGAUUGGACGA
rnacentral:rRNA from 1 species